rnacentral:lncRNA from 1 species
GGCUGUGUAAUGAUUCUUGAACUUACGUUUCUUCUUGCACUUUGCUAUAUGGAGCAAAAGUGGUACAGUAAGUCGGAGACAUAAUAACCAGUUAUUUAGACCUUUCAAUCACACAAUCACCUGCGGAUAUCCUCUGCUUUUCUUUACACCAAUUAUUUUUGAAAAGUUCAAAUUAUAAAAGCAGAUAAGUCCAGGGUUCACCAGCGGAAGUUUGAGAAAAAAGAGAUAAAAGAAAAGGAGAGUUCGGAAAAUGCGCUAGUACUGGUUGCUACUGUUUGCUGUUGCAUGAAGUCCCUACUGCUUGCAUUGGUGCACUGCUAUUGUUUGUUGGUUCAGCAGGGUGAUGUGAGUGUGUGAGAGAGAUAGCAAAAUGGAAUGAUCUUCUACAUUGACUAAAUCAUGGCAAACUCAGUUCAAUUUCUUGAUUUAGUCCAAUUCAAUUCCUAAUUGUGUUUCAGUCCAAAGACUGCUAUCUCUCUUAGUUUCUAUGUUUAAUUACAAAGUCCAUGUACAUUAACAGCAAAUAAGUUCAAGUAUAUCAAUAAAUGGAAGUUCGGGUAUAUGGAAUUUGAUGCUUGUUGGGUGUAUACAGGAGUAUAAAUGGAUUUCUUCUUGUUGAAUGAAGUUGAACUUGUUGUUAUGCUUCUGAACUUCUACCUCUUUCCCGCAGGUGGGUCACAGAAGCUAUCACAUCUCUUUCUGAACCUUUUUUCUCUGGAAUUUCUUUUCUGCUUGUGCGUCGGGUAAAAUAGUACCAGAAUGAGCUAGCCCCCCUGGUCAGUAGAUUUCUUUCUUUUUGUGUGUUAGUUCCUAGCUAAUACGGUUACGCUGCAUUUUGCCAUUCUAUGAGAGAAAGCAAAGAAAUCAAAAAGCAUUUUAUUCUAUUACACUGGUUAUAACCUCCGACCUAAGCCAUUUUCCCAUUCUAAUACAGUUAUAACCCCCGACUGCACAUUUUUUCAUAAGUUCUAAAAAUUCUAGAGCUUCAGUCCAACUAUGUUGCUUCUGCAAUUAGCCGUACGCAGAAAAUCACACUGGAGAUUGUUUUGUUCUAAACCUAAACACAUUUGUUCUUUGAUCUUAAAUGCAUGUAUUCCCUAAACAUUAAACGUGCUGGUUCUCUGAACUUAAGAGUGUGCGUUCUGUGUGUAUUGGAGCAUUACAUAUAUUCAGUUUUGCUGUUGAAUUGGGUCAUCGUAGUGACUGUUGAGCUUACUUUCCGGCGCAGGUCAUGGCUUAGCUACGACACACCUCACAUUGCUUCUCCACGCUGGACUAGUGGACCUGCAAUGGAUCAACUCAAACAAAAUUACCCAAGGUGAAAUUAAACUGAAUUAGUGAUGCUUGAUGAAAGCCUUAAGUCUGAUCCCAAUAUCGUGUAUGUGUUUAUGUCAGUAAACAGAUACUCGAAAUAUGCCAAAUAUUGAGUUCUUCUAGCAGAGGAGCUAACGCUACUUCUUAUACAAAUAUUUUAAGUCUGCCAUGUAGUUUUUCUCUUUGCUUUUAUGGAGAAAAACCCCAAAUGGAGUCAUACAACAUAACACCACCUUGUAGGCUUUUUUUGUUUUUUUCAGUUCAUCAUACAACUCAGCUCUGUUUAGAUCUCCAUCGAGCAGUUGGUGUCUGUGUGUGUCAAACUGCUCUGGAACUGCAUGUGUCCAGAGCACACACUUUGCUAUACACAUUGUUUUUAAAAUACUGAUAUAUGAUUUAUGAUGUUCUAUUUUUACUUUUAAUAAUAAGGAUUGUGCCAAAUAUUUCAUCACAUUGAAAAUGUUACAUUUAUCUGUCAUAUAUUUGUAUCUCAUUUUCUACUUUUUGCAGCACACUGUGAUAAAAGCAAACGCCACCCGUAUUUAGCUAAUACUUUGCAGAAAGUUCUUUCUCCUCAUUGGUAAUAAUGUAUCUUUGUUUUCACCAGGUAAAAAAGAUGAUGUCAGGAAUCACCGGGACCUAGAUCGACAGCCUCUAAUGGAGUGGAUGCCUACUUUCUGCAGAGAGAUUUAAGGGAACCUGUGACGAUGGUUGUUGUUUAGGCUUCGGUUUUUUCAGUACACCUUUGGAUGCAUUCUCGAUUCAUCUUAUAGGUCAAGAGCUUCCUUUAGUUCAAGGAUUAAACAAAGAAAAGAUUGGCGCACUGCAGUUUUGCAUUUUAGUGCAAGCACGCUAGACUCCCAUGAAAUAUCUUGUCAAAAAAUGGUUGAUCGUAAGUGCAAGUACACUACACACGCCGAGCUGCAAUGGGACACGGUGACAUCACUUCUUUUGGGUUGUUUUCUCUAUGAAUCUGCAUUUUCGUUAUUAAAUUCAGUACAACGAAACACAUGAAUCCCCAGUGGGUACCAAAUUACUGAUUCCUUAAAACAAUUAGUAGAUUUCACCAUUGGUUGGUCUACUUGUGUAAAUCUGUCAAUUCAUGACAAGUAACUUCUGAUGCUAGAAAUGCA